UACGAAGGGGGCUAGCGUUGCUCGGAAUCACUGGGCGUAAAGCGCACGUAGGCGGCUUUCUAAGUCAGGGGUGAAAUCCUGGAGCUCAACUCCAGAACUGCCUUUGAUACUGAGAAGCUUGAGUCCGGGAGAGGUGAGUGGAACUGCGAGUGUAGAGGUGAAAUUCGUAGAUAUUCGCAAGAACACCAGUGGCGAAGGCGGCUCACUGGCCCGGUACUGACGCUGAGGAGCGAAAGCGUGGGGAGCGAACAGG
rnacentral:rRNA from 1 species